ensembl:snRNA U1 U1 spliceosomal RNA
AUACUUCCCUGGCAGGGGAGACACCGUGAUCAGGAAGGGGGGGGUCACCCAGGGUGGCACUCUGGGGCUUUGCUGACCCCCCCCCCCCAAAUUCCCCACAUGCGGGAAUCUCCACUGCAUAACUUCUCACAGUGAGGAACUGCGUUCAUGCUCCCCCCUC